AUCUAUCUGACGAGUUCCAAACAGGACGAAACGCGCUUACUGGAU
rnacentral:hammerhead_ribozyme from 1 species